UGGGGAAUAUUGCACAAUGGGGGAAACCCUGAUGCAGCGACGCCGCGUGGAGGAAGAAGGUCUUCGGAUUGUAAACUCCUGUUGUUGGGGAAAAUAAGGAUGGUACCCAACAAGGAAGUGACGGCUAACUACGUGCCAGCAGCCGCGGUAAAACGUAGGUCACAAGCGUUGUCCGGAAUUACUGGGUGUAAAGGGAGCGCAGGCGGGUAUGCAAGUUGGAAGUGAAAUACAUGGGCUCAACCCAUGAACUGCUUUCAAAACUGUGUAUCUUGAGUAGUGCAGAGGUAGGCGGAAUUCCCGGUGUAGCGGUGGAAUGCGUAGAUAUCGGGAGGAACACCAGUGGCGAAGGCGGCCUACUGGGCACCAACUGACGCUGAGGCUCGAAAGUGUGGGUAGCAAACAGG
rnacentral:rRNA from 1 species